rnacentral:tRNA from 1 species
GGGGAUGUAGCUCAGGGGUAGAGCACCUGCCUUUUAAGCAGGGAGUCGAAGGUUCGAUUCCUUCCAUCCUCA